UACGUAGGUGGUAAGCGUUGUCCGGAUUUAUUGGGUUUAAAGGGUGCGUAGGCGGUCUAUUAAGUCAGUGCUGAAAUAUCCCGGCUUAACCGGGAGGGUGGCAUUGAUACUGAUGGACUUGAGUAAAGUUGAGGUUGGCGGAAUUGACGGUGUAGCGGUGAAAUGCUUAGAUAUCGUCAAGAACACCUAUUGCGAAGGCAGCUAACUAGCUAAACUGACGCUGAGGCACGAAAGUGUGGGGAUCAAACAGG
rnacentral:rRNA from 1 species